AUGAAGCGUUUCAAAACUAUGCAAGACUCUCGCUGCAAGCCAUAUGAAGAAAGUGCAAAAGUUGUUAUCAGGCAGAUUGAGCAGGAUGAGGCUGCUGCCACCGACAGCAGGGCUGGUGAUGGUACUGAGGCUAAUGUUUCUGAUCACGAAACGAAUGAUGUUGGCUUGGAGCGCCCUGUUGUUGAUAUUGAGCAAGAUGAGGCUGCUGCCACCGACAGCAGGGCUGAUGAUGGUAUUGAGGCUAAUGUUUCUGAUCACCAUACAAACAUUGUUGGCUUGGAGCACCCUGUUGUUGAUGAGAUCAGUCAUAAUGUUGAAGCUGCUGUUGACCGUGGAGUUAAUGAUCCAUCUACUGAUAAGUGCAAGGUCCUGUUGUUGGCGACGAGCCUUGUUCACCCGUUGGUGAUGUUGCUUUGA
rnacentral:rRNA from 1 species